UGUAAGGCAAUUGUACCGCGAAACUGCGAAUGGCUCAUUAUAUAAGUUAUCGUUUAUUUGAUAGCAUACUUCUACUUGGAUAACCGUGGUAAUUCUAGAGCUAAUACAUGCUAAAAAUCCCGACUUCGGAAGGGAUGUAUUUAUUAGAUUAAAAGCCAAUGCCCUCUGGGCUCUUUGGUGAAUCAUGAUAACUUCUCGAAUCGCAUGGCCUUGCGCCGGCGAUGGUUCAUUCAAAUUUCUUCCCUAUCAACUUUCGAUGCGAGGGUCUUGUCCUCGCAUGGUUACAACGGGUGACGGAGGGUUAGGGCUCGACCCCGGAGAAGGAGCCUGAGAAACGGCUACUACAUCCAAGGAAGGCAGCAGGCGCGCAAAUUACCCAAUCCCGACACGGGGAGGUAGUGACGAAAAAUACUGAUACAGGGCUCUUUUGGGUCUUGUAAUUGGAAUGAGUACAAUUUAAAUCCCUUAACGAGGAACAAUUGGAGGGCAAGUCUGGUGCCAGCAGCCGCGGUAAUUCCAGCUCCAUAGCGUAUAUUAAAGUUGUCGUGGUUAAAAAGCUCGUAGUUGAACCUUGGGCCUGGCUGGCCGGUCCCCCUCACCGGGUGCACUGGUCCGGCCGGGCCUUUCCCUCUGUGGAACCCCAUGCCCUUCACUGGGCGUGGCGGGGAAACAGGACUUUUACUUUGAAAAAAUUAGAGUGCUCCAGGCAGGCCUAUGCUCGAAUAGUUCAGCAUGGAAUAAUAGAAUAGGACGUGUGGUUCUAUUUUGUUGGUUUCUAGGACCGCCGUAAUGAUUAAUAGGGACAGUCGGGGGCAUCAGUAUUCAAUUGUCAGAGGUGAAAUUCUUGGAUCUAUUGAAGACUAACUACUGCGAAAGCAUUUGCCAAGGAUGUUUUCAUUGAUAAGGAACGAAAGUUAGGGGAUCGAAGACGAUCAGAUACCGUCGUAGUCUUAACUAUAAACUAUGCCGACUAGGGAUCGGACGAUGUUAUCUUUUGACUCGUUCGGCACCUUUCGAGAAAUCAAAGUGCUUGGGCUCCAGGGGGAGUAUGGUCGCAAGGCUGAAACUUAAAGAAAUUGACGGAAGGGCACCACCNGGGGUGGAGCCUGCGGCUUAAUUUGACUCAACACNGGGAAACUCACCAGGUCCAGACACAGUGAGGAUUGACAGAUUGAUAGCGCUUUCUUGAUUCUGUGGGUGG
rnacentral:rRNA from 1 species